rnacentral:rRNA from 1 species
GAUGAACGCUGGCGGCGUGCCUAACACAUGCAAGUCGAGCGGAGAAGCAGAGAGUGAUCUUUUUGGAGUGAACUUUUUUCGGAUCAGCGGCGGACGGGAUCGUAAUCCAUGAUGAACCUGCGCUCUACAAGGGGAUAGCUGGGGGAAACCGCGAUUCAUACCCUAUGAGACCACGAAAGCGCAUGCUUUCGAGGUUAAAGGUUUAUCGGGAGAAGAUGGCCUCAUGACCCAUUGGCAGGUUGGUGAUUUAACAGAGCACCAAGGCGACGGUGGGUACCCGGCAAGAGAGAGUGAGCGGCCACAUUGGAACUGAGACACGGUCGAGACUCCUACGCGAGGGGGGAGAGGGGAAUAUUGCAAAAUGGGGGAAGCCAUGAUGCAGCUACGUCGGGUGAGCGAAGAAGGCGGUCGGGUAGUAAAGCUCUGUACUAUGGGAAGAAAAUGACGGUACCAUAGAAGGAAGCCCCGGCUAACUACGUG